rnacentral:rRNA from 1 species
GUCUCCUUGUGGAAAAGUAAAUAAGGAGUCGGGCCUGCUCGGUGAAAAUUUUUAACAGCUGCGGUAUUUUAACUGUACUAAGGUAGCAUAAUAAUUUGCCUUAUAAUUUGAGGCUAGAAUGAAUGGUUUGACGAAGGUUUAUCUGUCUCUAUUUUAUUUUUUAGAAAUUAAUCUUCAUAGUGAAAAAGCUUGAAUUUUUUAAAGGGACGAGAAGACCCUAUUGAGCUUGGAAUUUUAUAUAAUUAUAUUUAUUAAAUUUGUAUAGUUAUUUAUAAAUUUUAGUUGGGGUGACUAAGGAAUAAAGUAAGUAACUUCCCUUAGAGUAAAGAUUGUUAAAUAAAGUAACCAUAUUCAAUAUUGCUUAUAAUAUAGUUACCAUAGGGAUAACAGCGUAAUUUAUUUAGAGAGCUCAUAUUGAAAAAUAAGAUUGCGACCUCGAUGUUGGAUUAAAGUAACCUUAAGGUGCAGAAGCCUUAGUUGGUAAAUCUGUUCGAUUUUUAAAACCUU